rnacentral:misc_RNA from 1 species
AUUGGUUUGGCAUUAGUAAACCCUUAAAAGAAGUUCUAGGAUAAAUGAUGCGUGCAAACCAUGAUUAAUCGAUCAAAUUAAAUUGCCAUUGAAGAAGACUACAAAGUGCAGGCAUCACAAAUGUUGUUUUUUUUUUCUUUUGCUCAUGAGGAACCUAUAAAGAGAGCAAGUGAGGAUGACUCGGAUGUAUGUGUUCACUCUCAAAAUUUUUAUAAAUAGGUCUUGUUCUUAUCUUAACUCUCCUAGCAGAUAAUGUACAUUCUCAGUUAUGCUUUACUUCUUCAUAAUCGUCUUCUUGUAUGUUUCAACAAAAAGGGUAUUGUGAAAAAAGAAAAUGAAAGAAAAAUGGAAAGGAUAAGUUAACUCAUGGGCAGACCAGAUCAAAGCUUAGCUUCCAAGGCUUCUUCACGAGUCUGGUGGCUAACUCAAAAAAGGAGAGAAGAUGGGAGGAAUGGCGCUUGGGUACUACCCAUUACUCCCAUCGGAACUACCUUGAGCGCUUUGUCGUCUUUUUUCUCGCCAG